CUUAGUAACAAGGGGGACUACACUGGAAUCAGGAUUAAAAAUCAACCCAGCUCUUUCAGUUCUCCAGUUCCCUGCCAGCAGUUUUCAGCCAGAGAGAUACCAGCAGAUGAGAGGUGGCGAGCAGGAGGCUAUGGAACUGGAGUGUUCAAACAUGAUGCAUCCGACAAAUACAACUCCAGAGAGGAGAAAGAGCAA